rnacentral:snRNA from 1 species
GGAUGUGAGGGCGAUCUGGCUGCGACAUCUGUCACCCCAUUGAUCGCCAGGGUUGAUUCGGCUGAUCUGGCUGGCUAGGCGGGUGUCCCCUUCCUCCCCUCACCGCUCCAUGUGCAUCCCUCCCGAAGCUGCGCGCUCGGUCGAAGAGGACGACCAUCCCCGAUGAGGAGGACCGUUCUUCGGUCAAGGGUAUACGAGUAGCUGCGCUCCCCUGCUAGAACCUCCAAACAAGCUCUCAAGCUCUGAAAGAAAACUGCCAACCUAGAUUAUUGUAACCAGCAAAGUUAUCCUUCAUAAUUGAAGGAGAAGUAAAAACUU